ensembl:lncRNA
GUGGCAAAAGAUAACAUAAAAUCUUUGUUGUGAAUUAGUCAGUAGGGUCUGACACAUGCUAACAAGGUUCCUGACUAGUGCCUCAGUAUUUCAGCACCUUAAGCAUGAUAAGGGCUUCCCUGGUGGCUCAGACAGUAAAGCAUCUGCCUGCAAUACAGGAGACCUGGGUUCAAUCCCUGGGUCGGGAAGAUCCCCUGGAGAAGGAAAUGGCAACCCACUCCAGUACUCUUGCCUGGAAAAUUCCAUGGACAGAGAAGCCUGGUAGGCUACAGUCCAUGGGAUCACAAAGAGUCAGACAUGACUGAGCAACUCCACUUCAAGCAUGAUAAAAUUCAGUCAACAAUAAAGUGAGUGUUUCAACUAGAAAAAAGAAUUUAAUAGUGGGAAAUCUUUACAUUUGGCCUUUAAAAGUUACUGUUAACUGAGGACCUAUUAGGUACCAAGCAUAGGACUAGGUUUCUCAGGUGAUGCUAGUGGUAAAGAACAUGUCUGCCAACGUAGGAGACAUAAGAGACGCGGGUUCAGUCCUUGGGUUGGGAAGAUCCCCUGGAGGAGGGCAUGGCAACCCACUCCAGUGUUCUUCCCUAGUGAAUCCUAUGGACAGAGAAUCCUGGUGGGCUACAGUCCAUGGGGUUGCAGAGUCAGACACUACUAAAGUGACUUAAUACAGUACUGAGAGUUAACUUUGGCAGGUUGAUAAGGAGUCCAAGCCUAAGGCCCCUUUAUGGAGGAGGUAAGCAUUCUUUUUCACAUUCUUUUGCUAUAGACAAAUAGGCCUUGUAGGCAGCAGUAUUUCUUGUUCAAGGACAUGCCUCUUUUUGAGCUUUGGAUGUAUUUUAUGGGGGAAAGUCUGGGUAAAAACUUCCACAGCCUUGGGCUCUGGAUUAACCUGUUCCUUCUGACUAAUCUAGUGCUGAUGUCAUCCCAGGAUGUAUGUUACAGGAAAGGGUCAGCAAAGUUCUCACAGCCUUAAGGUAUUUUUUGUCUAUUCUCAGAUGUAUAUAAGGCCCUACUUAAAUUAGUGAGGUGCGUACUCUUCUGCCCCCUUCUGAUAUCUAUGUCAGAAGCUUUUUCUGUCACUUUCACUUUAAAUAAAAUCUACACAAAGCUCUGAGUGACUGAGACUGUCUUUGGUCCCAGAGUUAAAUCUCCUUCGGAGACCAUGAAUCCAGCGGCACUGUUCACUGUUUACCAAUAAGCUAUCAUCUUUGGUGCUCGUCCAGGAUCUUCAAGACAAGAGGAGGAGCAGAAAUCAUGCAAAGGCAUUAAUAGUGAGGAACUGGACAUCAAUCUGGGAUGCCAUCAGGACUACCCUCGCUGCAUCUCCACCCCACCUUGGUGGUAGAAUGGGGAGGGAUGGUAAUAAGACACCUGCAUCGAUAUAAAGAAGCUCUUCUUCUCAAGUUACUGAUGGUUUAAAGCAAUUUAAUGAUUUACAUCUAUGGGUAAAAUUAAAACAUUUUUCUUCUCUCUCUGCCUCGUCCCUCCGAAAUUGGAGACACUUGGGUUCUGGACAGCCUUAUCAAGGAACGCCCUGCUGCUGCUGCUGCUAAGUUGCUUCAGUCGUGUCUGACUCUGUGCGACCCCAUAGAUGGCAGCUCACCAGGCUUCCCCGUCCGUGGAAUUCUCCAGAUUAGGUGAUUCUGAUGAACACUAAAGACUGAGAACCAGUGCUUUAAGCCAAGGUGCCAAUGAAAUCGCUGACAGUGGCAAUGGAAGCUUUGAAUCUCUUCAUCAAGUCCAGCAGAGAAGAGAAAACUCUGACCCAACAUUCCAAGUAAGUAGGACUCCCAUGGUUCUCCCUCACUGACUUGCUUAGGUCACAAGUCCUCUGAACUAAUGUUGUUUGUGGUCAGAAGAACUGAGAAUAAAAUCUGUUUACCCGCAAAUACGUGGGCUAUGAGUGGGAAGAAUAGACACAUAAAUAAAAAUCUACAACUUCUUGGGAAGGAAAAAAAUGGGGAAUGAUUACUGAGAAGGCACGAGCAACACCUACAACAUUCAAAGAAUAUCUGCAUGUUUUAUUUUGAUAUAUUCUACCAAAUUAUACAUCAAAAAAGUUGUAACAACGUCAAGCCCACCAGCAGCAUAUGAAAACAUCUAGGAUUUCUUCAUACCCUGACUUACUCUGUUUAAAUCAUACUUUAAACAUUUCCCAGUCUUAUAGAUAAAGAUGGCAUUUUAUUGUUUUGAUUUAUAUGCCUUUACUCAUGGAUGAAAUUAAACAUCUUUUCAAAUCUCUAUUGAUGUGUGCAUGUCUUUCUCUGUAGAUUACUUGCUUAUUCUUUAGCUCACUUUACUAUUGGGUUUUGUCUUUUUCAUGUUAGUUCUUCUGAAUUUGUUGUAAAUUAAAUUAGCCUUUUAUCAUAUAUGAUGCAAAUAUGUUUUCCCAGCUUUGUUGACCUUUUGAAUUUGUUUAUGGUAUUCUCCCCCACCCUCCCGCCACCAAAGCUUUAACUUUUAUGCAGUGAAAUUCAUCAGUAUUUUUCUUUACUGGAAUCUGUAUUUGGGAUUUUGCUUUAAAAGGGCCUUCCCCCAUGUCCACCUUUCCAGGUGAACAUCAGUCAAGUCUGUAAAGCUUUUAAAAAUUAAGGAUGCUGGGCCUCCACUCCAGACCUAAUAAAGCAGAUUUUUAAAAUGUGA